ensembl:lncRNA
GGUAGCUUCUACACUGGUAGAAGGGAAGAUAAAUCCCUUCAACGUGCUGAACUGCUGUGUAGAAUGAGCUCUGUUUUAAUCUCGUUCCUCUACGAUGCUCAGCUUUCCUAGCUUCUCCCCUGCCUAAGCACACACUUCUGUCCCUUGGCAUUAACCAUCAUGCACAGCGGGAUCAAAUCUGAGCUCUCUCUCCUCCUGCUUCUUUCCAGAAGGAUGAGACAAACAGCAGAAAACAACCAGCCUACACAGCUAACUCGUUUGGGGUUGCUCCGGACGUUUGGAUGUUCCCUUCCAUGGCCCAGGCCAAGCUCGCUGAGCUGCUCCUCCUUUGUGCAGGGGAAGACCGGUGCAGGUGCAAUGUGCUGGCUAUGCACAGCAUGCCUUUUCCUUGCUUUUCCUCUCCCCCUCUUCCACGAGCAAACAGCAUCUCAACUCUUUCCUUGCUCAGAAACCACUGAGGUAAAAAAGAACUGGCAAGCUUGCUUUCAGAAUUACCUUCUCUGUAC